UGGGGAAUAUUGCACAAUGGGCGAAAGCCUGAUGCAGCGACGCCGCGUGAGGGAUGACGGCCUUCGGGUUGUAAACCUCUUUCAGCAGGGAAGAAGCGUGAGUGACGGUACCUGCAGAAGAAGCGCCGGCUAACUACGUGCCAGCAGCCGCGGUAAUACGUAGGGCGCAAGCGUUGUCCGGAAUUAUUGGGCGUAAAGAGCUCGUAGGCGGCUUGUCGCGUCGGUUGUGAAAGCCCGGGGCUUAACCCCGGGUCUGCAGUCGAUACGGGCAGGCUAGAGUUCGGUAGGGGAGAUCGGAAUUCCUGGUGUAGCGGUGAAAUGCGCAGAUAUCAGGAGGAACACCGGUGGCGAAGGCGGAUCUCUGGGCCGAUACUGACGCUGAGGAGCGAAAGCGUGGGGAGCGAACAG
rnacentral:rRNA from 1 species